rnacentral:rRNA from 1 species
AAUGGGCGCAAGCCUGAUCUAGCCAUGCCGCGUGUGUGAUGAAGGCCUUAGGGUCGUAAAGCACUUUCGCCAGGGAUGAUAAUGACAGUACCUGGUAAAGAAACCCCGGCUAACUCCGUGCCAGCAGCCGCGGUAAUACGGAGGGGGUUAGCGUUGUUCGGAAUUACUGGGCGUAAAGCGCACGUAGGCGGAUCAGAAAGUUGGGGGUGAAAUCCCGGGGCUCAACCCCGGAACUGCCUCCAAAACUCCUGGUCUUGAGUUCGGGAGAGGUGAGUGGAAUUCCGAGUGUAGAGGUGAAAUUCGUAGAUAUUCGGAGGAACACCAGUGGCGAAGGCGGCUCACUGGCUCGAUACUGACGCUGAGGUGCGAAAGUGUGGGGAGCAAACAGGAUU